UACACGACUCUCGGCAACGGAUAUCUCGGCUCUCGCAUCGAUGAAGAACGUAGCGAAAUGCGAUACCUGGUGUGAAUUGCAGAAUCCCGCGAACCAUCGAGUCUUUGAACGCAAGUUGCGCCCGAGGCCUCUUGGCCGAGGGCACGCCUGCCUGGGCGUCACGC
rnacentral:rRNA from 1 species